CCGCUCUCUUCCUGUCACUGACAGAACCAAAACAAUACACGUCACUGGACUGUACCAUUACCAACACUGUCACUAUGGCUCGUACCAUUAGCAGCAGACAACAUUGUCAAUUUGCAGUGGUUAUCUCAUGAAGACAAAUCCUUUUUAAUCUGAUCAUCUGAAUGCAAUGGAUCUGGUUUCAGACACCCCUGGAAUUCAGUAUUUAUGGAUGGAGCAAGCAGCCAGCGAAUAGCGACCAUGGAACGCAUGGAUGAGCUGUGUCCACCAGAAUGCAAGACAGUCAUUGUAAGCAGAUUUAGGUAAAUGUCCUGAAAAAACA